rnacentral:rRNA from 1 species
GACGAACGCUGGCGGCGUGCUUAACACAUGCAAGUCGAGCGAGGCCCAUCCUUCGGGGUGGUGCCCUAGCGGCGAACGGGUGAGUAACACGUGGGCAACCUGCCCUCAGCUCUGGGAUAACUCCAAGAAAUUGGUGCUAAUACCGGAUGUGACCGCUGACCGCAUGGUCUGGUGGUGGAAAGAUUCAUCGGCUGAGGAUGGGCCCGCGGCCUAUCAGCUUGUUGGUGGGGUAAUGGCCCACCAAGGCGACGACGGGUAGCCGGCCUGAGAGGGUGACCGGCCACACUGGGACUGAGACACGGCCCAGGCUCCUACGGGAGGCAGCAGUGGGGAAUAUUGCGCAAUGGGCGAAAGCCUGACGCAGCGACGCCGCGUGAGGGAUGACGGCCUUCGGGUUGUAAACCUCUUUCAGUAGGGACGAAGCGAAAGUGACGGUACCUACAGAAGAAGCACCGGCCAACUACGUG